AUUUAUAUAGUUUAAAAAAAACAUUACAUUUUCACUGUAAAGACAAAGGAAAACUUUUAUAAAUA
rnacentral:tRNA from 1 species